UACAGAGGUCUCAAGCGUUGUUCGGAUUCAUUGGGCGUAAAGGGCGCGCAGGCGGCUCUGAAAGUCAGAUGUGAAAGCCCCGGGCUUAACCUGGGAAUUGCAUUUGAUACUCUGGAGCUUGAGUACGGGAGAGGAGAGUGGAAUUCCCAGUGUAGAGGUGAAAUUCGUAGAUAUUGGGAAGAACACCGGUGGCGAAGGCGGCUCUCUGGACCGUAACUGACGCUGAGGCGCGAAAGCGUGGGGAGCAAACAGG
rnacentral:rRNA from 1 species